rnacentral:tRNA from 1 species
AAAGGGAGACCUAAUUCAGGUAGGAGACGAAAAAAAGUAGUCCCUACCAAGAAUCAAUCCCAAAAGGUCGGAGCGAGGCAAAAUUGGCUUUCAAACUAGGUUCUGGGUUCACAUAAGACCUGAAUCAGGAACAAGGGCUAUUAGCUCAGGUGGUUAGAGCGCACCCCUGAUAAGGGUGAGGUCCCUGGUUCGAGUCCAGGAUGGCCCACCUGCGCAGGUGGCAAAAACAAAGAAAAGAAGCUCCGAAUCAGCACCUUAUCUUACUCAUAUAGUAAGAGAGAAUGCUGGCUCUGAGUUCAGAGUCCAGAGGAACCUUGAAAACUGCAUAGAGCUAGGUGAAAAAGCCAAAAAAGAAGACCGCAAG